CUCAGAUUGAACGCUGGCGGCAGGCCUAACACAUGCAAGUCGAGCGGAAACGAGUUAUCUGAACCUUCGGGGRACGAUAACGGCGUCGAGCGGCGGACGGGUGAGUAAUGCCUAGGAAAUUGCCCUGAUGUGGGGGAUAACCAUUGGAAACGAUGGCUAAUACCGCAUAAUGCCUWCGGGCCAAAGAGGGGGACCUUCGGGCCUCUCGCGUCAGGAUAUGCCUAGGUGGGAUUAGCUAGUUGGUGAGGUAAUGGCUCACCAAGGCGACGAUCCCUAGCUGGUCUGAGAGGAUGAUCAGCCACACUGGAACUGAGACACGGUCCAGACUCCUACGGGAGGCAGCAGUGGGGAAUAUUGCACAAUGGGCGCAAGCCUGAUGCAGCCAUGCCGCGUGUGUGAAGAAGGCCUUCGGGUUGUAAAGCACUUUCAGUCGUGAGGAAGGUAGUAUAGUUAAUAGCAGUAUCAUUUGACGUUAGCGACAGAAGAAGCACCGGCUAACUCCGUGCCAGCAGCCGCGGUAAUACGGAGGGUGCGAGCGUUAAUCGGAAUUACUGGGCGUAAAGCGCAUGCAGGUGGUUUGUUAAGUCAGAUGUGAAAGCCCGGGGCUCAACCUCGGAAUAGCAUUUGAAACUGGCAGACUAGAGUACUGUAGAGGGGGGUAGAAUUUCAGGUGUAGCGGUGAAAUGCGUAGAGAUCUGAAGGAAUACCGGUGGCGAAGGCGGCCCCCUGGACAGAUACUGACACUCAGAUGCGAAAGCGUGGGGAGCAAACAGGAUUAGAUACCCUGGUAGUCCACGCCGUAAACGAUGUCUACUUGGAGGUUGUGGCCUUGAGCCGUGGCUUUCGGAGCUAACGCGUUAAGUAGACCGCCUGGGGAGUACGGUCGCAAGAUUAAAACUCAAAUGAAUUGACGGGGGCCCGCACAAGCGGUGGAGCAUGUGGUUUAAUUCGAUGCAACGCGAAGAACCUUACCUACUCUUGACAUCCAGAGAACUUUCCAGAGAUGGAUUGGUGCCUUCGGGAACUCUGAGACAGGUGCUGCA
rnacentral:rRNA from 1 species